AUCAAAAAUCUCUAUCAGCAAAUCUCUAUCAUCAAAAUCAGCAAGCUACCUCUAUCAACAAAUCUUUAUCAGCCUGUUUGAGCACCAAAACAAGUGGGUACAAUAUAUUUUUUUUAACUCUUCAUGUUCUCUUCAAUUUCACAUUUUUCGUGACUGAAUUUCGUGCAAAUCUCUAUCAUCAAAAUCAACAAGCUACCUCUAUCAACAAAUCUUUAUGAGGCUGUUUGAGCACCAAAACAAGUGGGUACAAUAUUUAAUUAUUAUUUUUUACUCUUCAUGUUCUCUUCAAUUUCACAUUUUUCGUGACUGAAUUUCGUGCAAAUCUCUAUCAUCAAAAUCAACAAGCUACCUCUAUCAACAAAUCUUUAUCAGCCUGUUUGAGCACCAAAACAAGUUUGACUCUGUGUUGCAGUAAUUUUGUACAUAUGCAGGUUCAGUUUUUUUGAUUGAAGUAAGUGUCACUCUUCUGCAUUGUUAGAUUAUCGUCUAAUUGCUUCUUCAAUUUAUUUUGUUGUUAUAAUUUUGGCAUUUGCCUGUGUCUUUAUUUGUCGUUUAUUUACUUUGAGUAUAGAAAAUAUGUAUUGUACAUUUGUUUGAGUUGUUUUGUUAAAAUUAUCAUUCAUUAAAGUCUCUUUACUAAAAAAUAUUACUAAAAUUGCAGCAAUGUCAGACGAUAAAUGUACAAAAGAUCAAACUUCUAAAACCAUAAAUGCUAAAAAAAAUGAUACGCAACGAGAGUUAUAUAAGGUUAUGGCACCUGAAAAAAAGGAAGCAUGUUUAGCUCGACGACGGGAGUUAUAUAAACUAAUGACACCUGAAAAAAAGGAGGCAUGUUUAGCUAGACGACGGGAGGUAUAUAAGCUAAAGGCAACAGAAAAAAAGGAGGCAUGUUUAGCUCAACAACGAGCAACCAAAGCUACUUCAGUUAAUCCAUCAUCCUUUGAAGUUAGCACUUCUUUCGCAAAGCAGGCUUCCUCCGUUGUAAGACGGUCACUGCUUUUUGGUGAAACAGGUUACGCAGUUUUUCUACAACAUACAACCUUACCUAAAAAAUUACUUAAGCUAAAAAGUUUUGUUUAUUGAAUAAACAGGAUCGUCGUCAGGCACAAAGCCUACACAUCAUGGUAAAAAGCCGGUGAUGACUACAAACCAAGGUUAAUGUUUGAGUCGUUUUGUUAAAAUUAUCAUUCAUUAAAGUCUCUUUACUAAAAAAUAUUCCUAAAAUUGCAGCAAUGUCAGACGAUAAAUGUAGAAACUUCUAAAACCAUAAAUGCUAAAAAAAAUGAUAGGCAACGAGAGUUAUAUAAGGUUAUGGCACCUGAAAAAAAGGAAGCAUGUUUAGCUCGACGACGGGAGUUAUAUAAACUAAUGGCGCCUGAAAAAAAGGAGCCAUGUUUAGCUAGACGACAGGAGUUAUAUAAGCUAAUGGCAGCAGAAAAAAAGGAGGCAUGUUUAGCUCAACAACGAGCAACAAAAGAUACUUCAGUUAAUCGAUCAUCCUUUGAAGUUAGCACUUCUUUCGCAGAGCAGGCUUCCUCCGUUGUAAGACGGUCACUGCUUCUUGGUGAAACAGGUUAUGCAGUUUUUCUACAACUUACAAUCUUACCUAAAAAAUUACUUAAGCUAAAAAGUUUUGUUUAUUGAAUAAACAGGAUCAUCGUUAGGCACAAAGCCUACACAUCAUGGUAAAAAGUCAAUGAUGACUACAAAUCAAGAAAGAGAUUUCGUACAAGUUGGUACCUUAAGUAGUGCAGAAGCAAAAAGCAGCUAUAUUAGCUUGAAAGAUGUUCCGAAUUGUGAAUUUUGUGGAGCCAAAAAGUUUGAAUAUGAACCGCCUGCAUUUUGUUGCAAUAAUGGUUCGAUUCACUUAAUUUCAUAUCAAAUGCCACAAGAGUUAAGAAAUUUGUAUUUGGGAAACACUGAGGAAUCAAAGGAAUUUCGAACUUACAUUAGAACAUACAAUAACACAUUCGCUUUCACAUCACUCGGAGUAACUUAUGAUAAAAAUUUAGCAAAACGAAGUAAUGGAGUUUAUACCUUCAAAGUCCAAGGACAAAUGUACCAUUUUAUAAAUGAUUUGGUUCCACCUAAUCAAAGGGCUAAGAACUUACAAUUGUAUUUCUUUGACAGUGAAAACGAACUGCAAAAUUGAAUGGCAUGCUCAAACAAGCUUAAUGAAAAAAUUGUGAAAUCUUUGAUGGACAUCUUAAAAUCUUACAAUCCUUACUCUAAGUUUUUGAAAUCUUUAAUAAACAUUUCGCAAUUGUCUGAUUUCUACAUUGCCCUUAGAUGUGAUGCUGGUCUAGAUCAACGAAUCUACAACUUACCAACAGUUUCAGAAGUUGGUGGAAUAUGGGUAGAAAAUGAUAAUAAUAAUUAUGUAUCCGCACCACAUAUUCGCAUAUAUACAGAAAGCAAUAGAAGUCAAAUAGUAAAUUAUUAUUAUGGUUGUUAUGAUUCAUUACAAUAUCCAUUACUAUUGCCUUACGGUCAAAAUGGAUGGCACUGUGGCAUUAAAAAAAAAAACCUUCAAGUGUGAGACCCAACAACCUAAUGUAUUGUGAACACGAAGAAUUGCCCAAUGUAAAAAAUAUGUGUUCAAUAGAUGGUUUUCUUCAUAUGGAAGCUGAAAACAUGCAAAAAGGAAAACGCAAAAGAAAUAUUGUUUCUUGUCGUGAGUAUUAUUGUUACAAACUACAAAUAAGAAAUGAUGAAAAUAUAAUUUUGCAUUCUGGAAGAUUAUUUCAA